rnacentral:rRNA from 1 species
UACGUAGGGUGCGAGCGUUGUCCGGAAUUAUUGGGCGUAAAGAGCUCGUAGGCGGUUUGUCACGUCGGAUGUGAAACCCCGGGGCUUAACUCCGGGCCUGCAUUCGAUACGGGCUGGCUAGAGUUCGGCAGGGGAGACUGGAAUUCCUGGUGUAGCGGUGAAAUGCGCAGAUAUCAGGAGGAACACCGGUGGCGAAGGCGGGUCUCUGGGCCGAUACUGACGCUGAGGAGCGAAAGCGUGGGGAGCGAACAGG